GACGAACGCUGGCGGCGUGCUUAACACAUGCAAGUCGAACGGAAAGGCCCUGCUUUUGUGGGGUGCUCGAGUGGCGAACGGGUGAGUAACACGUGUGUAGCCUGCCCUUGACUUUGGGAGAAUAUCUGGUGACUGGGGCUAAUACCGGAUCGGAGCUCCUGCUGCCUGGUGGGGGUUGGAAAGUGUCGGCGGUUGGGGAUGGACUCGCGGCUUAUCAGCUUGUUGGUGGGGUAGUGGCUUACCAAGGCUUUGACGGGUAGCCGGCCUGAGAGGGUGACCGGCCACCUUGGGACUGAGAUAGGGACCAGACUCCUACGGGAGGCAGCAGUGGGGAAUAUGACACAGUGGGCGGAAGCGUGAUGCAGCAACGCCGCGUGCGGGAUGACGGCCUUCGGGUGGUAAACCGCUUUCGCCUGUGACGAAGCGUGAGUGACGGUAAUGGGUAAAGAAGCACCGGCUAACUACGUG
rnacentral:rRNA from 1 species